rnacentral:rRNA from 1 species
UACGGAGGGUGCGAGCGUUGUCCGGAAUCACUGGGCGUAAAGGGCGCGUAGGCGGCGCGACAAGUCAGUGGUGAAAGCCCGAGGCUCAACUUCGGGUCGGCCACUGAUACUGUCGGGCUCGAGCACUGUAGAGGCAGGUGGAAUUCCGGGUGUAGCGGUGGAAUGCGUAGAGAUCCGGAAGAACACCGGUGGCGAAGGCGGCCUGCUGGGCAGUAGCUGACGCUGAGGCGCGACAGCGUGGGGGAGCAAACAGG